AAGACUAUACUUUCAGGGAUCGUUUCUAUAGUUUGUUACUAGCGAAGUUUCUCUGAACUUAUAAUGCUUGUG
rnacentral:snoRNA from 1 species